UACCAGCACCCCGAGUGGUCGGGACGAUUAUUGGGCCUAAAGCAUCCGUAGCCGGUUCUGCAAGUCCCCCGUUAAAUCCAGCUGCUCAACAGAUGGGCCGCGGAGGAUACUAUAAGACUAGGAGGCAGGAGAGGCAAGCGGUACUCAGUGGGUAGGGGUAAAAUCCGUUGAUCCAUUGAAGACCACCAGUGGCGAAGGCGGCUUGCCAGAAUGCGCUCGACGGUGAGGGAUGAAAGCUGGGGGAGCAAACCGG
rnacentral:rRNA from 1 species